rnacentral:rRNA from 1 species
AGCACGCCGCGUGAGUGAAGAAGGGUUUCGGCUCGUAAAGCUCUGUUGUUAAAGAAGAACGUGGGUGAGAGUAACUGUUCACCCAGUGACGGUAUUUAACCAGAAAGCCACGGCUAACUACGUGCCAGCAGCCGCGGUAAUACGUAGGUGGCAAGCGUUAUCCGGAUUUAUUGGGCGUAAAGCGAGCGCAGGCGGUCUUUUAAGUCUAAUGUGAAAGCCUUCGGCUCAACCGAAGAAGUGCAUUGGAAACUGGGAGACUUGAGUGCAGAAGAGGACAGUGGAACUCCAUGUGUAGCGGUGAAAUGCGUAGAUAUAUGGAAGAACACCAGUGGCGAAGGCGGCUGUCUGGUCUGUAACUGACGCUGAGGCUCGAAAGCAUGGGUAGCGAACAGGAUUAGAUACCCUGGUAGUCCAUGCCGUAAACGAUGAUUACUAAGUGUUGGAGGGUUUCCGCCCUUCAGUGCUGCAGCUAACGCAUUAAGUAAUCCGCCUGGGGAGUACGACCGCAAGGUUGAAACUCAAAAGAAUUGACGGGGGCCCGCACAAGCGGUGGAGCAUGUGGUUUAAUUCGAAGCUACGCGAAGAACCUUACCAGGUCUUGACAUCUUCUGCCAACCUAAGAGAUUAGGCGUUCCCUUCGGGGACAGAAUGACAGGUGGUGCAUGGUUGUCGUCAGCUCGUGUCGUGAGAUGUUGGGUUAAGUCCCGCAACGAGCGCAACCCUUAUUACUAGUUGCCAGCAUUCAGUUGGGCACUCUAGUGAGACUGCCGGUGACAAACCGGAGGAAGGUGGGGACGACGUCAAAUCAUCAUGCCCCUUAUGACCUGGGCUACACACGUGCUACAAUGGAUGGUACAACGAGUCGCGAAACCGCGAGGUUUAGCUAAUCUCUUAAAACCAUUCUCAGUUCGGACUGUAGGCUGCAACUCGCCUACACGAAGUCGGAAUCGCUAGUAAUCGCGGAUCAGCAUGCCGCGGUGAAUACGUUCCCGGGCCUUGUACACACCGCCCGUCACACCAUGAGAGUUUGUAACACCCAAAGCCGGUGGGGUAACCUUUUAGGAGCUA